CAACAACUUCAAACAGCCACCGAGUCAAUCACACAAGAACACACUUUAAAAAUGCUCAUCAAAGAAAGAAACGGAAGCUUCUAGAACCAUGUGGUUUUGUCCGUCUCCUGAUUGUGCAACUACAUCCAUGGAGGAAAUUCUGAGCACUUCACCAGGGCCCACCCAUCCAGAGGGGAGCCAUGUGAGGGAAUGGUAGAGCAAGGAACUGAGAGUGGAGAUCCCCGGGGCCUGGGACCUGAGUGGGCAGGAAGGACUGUCCUUGGCUCGCCGUUUUCCUGGUGAGGUACAGGGUUGACCAGAAGAGCUGGAACCCAUGGGAGAAGCAGCCCCCGUGGAGAAAGCCUCACCACGAGGACCUGCCAGUUGAUAACUGCACAGACCUGUGCUACCAGAUGUCUGUGACGGAGUGUGUUGCAGGCGCUCCCUGAGACACACUAUUGCCUCUCACUUGCUCAGGAGACUCAGUGCUUUCCUAUUUCUCCAGCUUCUAAAAACAAAGGUUUUUCCUUCAUUUCUUUCUUGUCUGCAGUGUUCAGAUUCUUGUACCCACCACGACCACACCUCCCGACCUCCACUCAAUAGUAAACACCUUUCCAAUGGGAAACUCACGGGGCAACCUGCUGGGGCUGGUCUCUUUGUGUUAGAAUCUAUCCUUGUGGUUAGACAGGUCACUACCCAUGGGGCUGGUAAGGGCCCGGCAAUGAGCGGCGAGCCUUACAGCGCACGAGGAGCGCCGCGGUCCAAACCGAGAGCCCCCUUCAGCCAACACAGCCGGUUCUCAUUGUUAGGGCUCUGCCUCCUCUGACAAACCGAUCGGUGCCCAGACUGGGAAGCCGGCUCCUUGAAGGCUGGGUGUCCUCUUUUCUUUCCUAACGAAGCCCAGUUGCUCUCACGGCAUCUCUUCUGAACCUCCCCAGAGGAUUAAGGUCUAGAGUUUAAAAUCAAUUCAUUUUCAGUGCCAGAAUUCUUCUUUCUGGAGAGCACCCAGAACAUGAAUGAAAAUUCCAAUUCCCCAUCUAUGUCCCCAUCCCCAUCCCCCUAAAGAAAAAAAAAAAAAAAAGACUCCAGUGGGAAUGGGUGGUCUACACAGAGACACUGACACUUAGUUAAUUGAGCAGGGAAAAGCACUGAGGCAGCGCCUGCCAUUAAGUGCCGUUAAGUAACAAAAAUGGUGGCCAUAGGUAUCCCUGGACGGACCUGGUCACUCCCGGACCCUGGAGCUGCAUUCUGUUUCAAACGCUGACCCCCCGUAAGGAUAACAGACAAAUAACUCAAUGACCUGCUCACCUGAACGUUCUCAAAUGGCCUACCUACAUUUCAGUUGUUUAAAAACCGCAUAAAAUCUUAUAUCCCUUCAUCAAAUUUGUAAAUGGGGUCAGGGGCCGUUUUUACAUGUCCCUAGUGAACUAACAUGUUUA
rnacentral:lncRNA from 1 species